UAUCAUGUUGGAACACAGAAAGUCGGAAACGGUCCGCCGCCGGAGGACGUGACUGCGGCCGAUUAGGUAGACGGUGGGGUAACGGCCCACCGUGCCGAUAAUCGGUACGGGUUGUGAGAGCAAGAACCCGGAGACGGUAUCUGAGACAAGAUACCGGGCCCUACGGGGCGCAGCAGGCGCGAAACCUUUACACUGCACGCCAGUGCGAUAAGGGGACCCCGAGUGCGAGGGCAUACAGUCCUCGCUUUUCGUGACCGUAAGAAGGUCUCAGAAUAAGAGCUGGGCAAGACCGGUGCCAGCCGCCGCGGUAAUACCGGCAGCUCGAGUGAUAGCCACUAUUAUUGGGCCUAAAGCGUCCGUAGCCGGCCGAACAGGUCCGUCGGGAAAUCCACCCGCUCAACGGGUGGACGUCCGGCGGAAACCAGUCGGCUUGGAGCCGGGAGACCAGAGAGGUACGUCCGGGGUAGGAGUGAAAUCCCGUAAUCCUGGACGGACCGCCGGUAGCGAAAGCGUCUCUGGAGAACGGACCCGACGGUGAGGGACGAAAGCUUGGGUCUCGAACCGGAUUAGAUACCCGGGUAGUCCAAGCUGUAAACGAUGCUCGCUAGGUGUGGCGUUGGCUACGAGCCAGCGCUGUGCCGUAGGGAAGCCGAGAAGCGAGCCGCCUGGGAAGUACGUCCGCAAGGAUGAAACUUAAAGGAAUUGGCGGGGGAGCACUACAACCGGAGGAGCCUGCGGUUUAAUUGGACUCAACGCCGGACAUCUCACCGGCACCGACAGUGUGCAGUGACAGUCAGUCUGAUGGGCUUACUUGAGCCACU
rnacentral:rRNA from 1 species